rnacentral:rRNA from 1 species
GGUCUCGCCUGCCCACUGACUAUAUGUUUAACGGCCGUGGUAUCUUGACCACGUGAAGGUAGCGUAAUUAUUUGUCUUUUAAAUGAAGACCUGUAUGAAUGGCAAAACGAGGGCUUAACUGUCUCCCCUCUCCAGUCAAUGAAAUUGAUCUCCCCGUGCAGAAGCGGGGAUUGACCUAUAAGACGAGAAGACCCUGUGGAGCUUUAGACCUAAAAUAAGCCCACCCAACAAAUUCAAGAAAAGAAUUAGACCUCGGUWGAAAGUUAUUUAAGUGUCUUUGGUUGGGGUGACCAUGGGGUAAAAUUUAGCCCCCACGAAGAUAGAGGACACACACAGCCCUCAACACCUAGAGUCACCUCUCCAAGUAACAGAAUCUCUGACUUUAAAAAUGAUCCGGCCAAGCCGAACAACGAACCCAGUUACCCCAGGGAUAACAGCGCAAUCCCCUUCCAGAGCCCCUAUCGACAAGGGGGUUUACGACCUCGAUGUUGGAUCAGGACAUCCUAAUGGAGCAGCCACUAUUAAGGGUUCGUUUGUUCAACGAUUAACAGUCCUACGUGAUC